UUUAUACGGGAAAAAACCUUACCAAGUCUUGACAUCCCUAUGACCAAGUAUGUAAUGUUCUCUUUCUUCGGGACAUAAGUGACAGGUGGUGCAUGGUUGUCGUCAGCUCGUGUCGUGAGAUGUUGGGUUAAGUCCCGCAACGAGCGCAACCCUUGUUCUUAGUAGCCAGCAGUUCGGAUGGGCACUCUAGGGAGACUGCCCGGGUUAACCUGGAGGAAGGUGGGGAUGACGUCAAAUCAUCAUGCCCCUUAUGACUUGGGCUACACACGUGCUACAAUGGCGUAAACAAAGGGAAGCGAAGUCGUGAGGCCGAGCAAAUCUCAAAAAUAACGUCUCAGUUCGGAUUGUAGUCUGCAACUCGACUACAUGAAGCUGGAAUCGCUAGUAAUCGCGGAUCAAAAUGCCGCGGUGAAUACGUUCCCGGGUCUUGUACCCCCCCGAA
rnacentral:rRNA from 1 species